AAAAAAAAUCUGAAAUCAGACUUCGAAAUUCGUAUUGCACAGUGUAAGAAAAAAAAUCAAAAUUUAGAAUGGUAGAAUCAACUUUAGAAAGAAUUAGAAAUUUCAAGUAGCUUUAAACUUACACAUAUUCAGAUUCAGAAAUUAAUUAAGUCUUCCACCUUCUCGAUCUUCAUCGUCUGCUUCCUUCAUUUGCUUCGACUUCAGGAAGGUGUCGUUUCAUCCUCCCGCUUCCGACCGCUACAGGUGAAUGAGAAAGAUGCCCUAGCUUCACACAAUAGAUGAUUCUAAACCCAUAACACUCAGUGUGCGAUUGAGGAGAAGUUUGUCUCGGUUGUGAUAUAUGCUGGAUUCUUGGAUUUGAAAUAUAAGAAGGGUAUUUUGGUCUUUUAGUAUAAAAGAAAGAAAGACAUUGAAUUCCUUCUACUAACCCUUCCACCAAUCCUCAGAACGGAGAAAUUUAUCAACCAUGUAAUUGGGUCCAUAUUGAAAGAAAUAUUGAAUUCCAAUCCCCUUCUAUUUGAUCGUUGGGUAAUAUCUUUAAACAAAAAAAUGGAAUACAAGUGUUUACACCAACUAUCUUAAUGUUGAAAUCCAUCAAAAAUGAAAUUGAAGAAAUCUGAUAUGAUCUAUCUGUUUUUCCCAA